rnacentral:miRNA from 1 species
UAGUCUUGCCGUGCCUAUGUC